GAUGAAGAACGCAGCGAAAUGCGAUAAGUAGUGUGAAUUGCAGAAUUCAGUGAAUCAUCGAAUCUUUGAACGCACAUUGCGCCCCUUGGUAUUCCAUGGGGCAUGCCUGUUCGAGCGUCAUUUGUACCUUCAAGCUCUGCUUGGUGUUGGGUGUUUGUCUCGCCUCUGCGUGUAGACUCGCCUCAAAAUAAUUGGCAGCCGGCGUAUUGAUUUCGGAGCGCAGUACAUCUCGCGCUUUGCACUCAUAACGACGACGUCCAAAAGUACAUUUUUACACUCUUGACCUCGGAUCAGGUAGGGAUACCCGCUGAACUUAAGCAUAUCAAUAAGCGGAGGA
rnacentral:misc_RNA from 1 species